CCCCCUGCAGGGCGCUGUGCCUUGGAGGUUUUUAGUUCCCGGGACAGACUCAGGAUCAGAGCCAGGGACUUGGGCUCACUCCUGCCCUGCCACUUCCUAGCUCGAGGGCCCUGGGCAGGACUUGUAACCGAUCUAAGCCUCAAUUUUCUCAUGGGAAAAACGGGGAUAAUAACACUUUUGUAUCUCCAAGGACUCUUAAGGCGUCAGAUAAAAUGAGCAUGUGCAUGUAAUACAAGGAAAGAAGACUUGCUGAGCGCUGAGCACCUGGGUCCUCUGAUCACAUCCCAAGCAAAAGGCUCUAAACACUAUGCGGUCCCUGACGGUUGGCGCUGGGCAGUUGCUCUGUCCUCCUCCUCCUGGGGUGCCUUGCUGAGCUGCAGGGGUGGAAAGUAAAAAGUACAUCUCCUGGUGGUAUCAGCUAAAUUGUGUCCCCUCACAUUCAUAUGCUGAAGUCCUGACCCCCAGUAACUCAGGAUGGGCUGGAUUUGGAGAUAGGGCCUAAUUUAGUUAAAAUGAACUCCUUAGGGGGUGUCCUAAUCCGAUCUGACUGGGGUCCUCCUAAGAAGGGGGAAUUUUGACACAGAUGAGUACAGAGGGGAGACCAUGUGAAGACAGCGAGAAGACGGCCACCUGCAAGCCAGGGAGCGAGGCCUCAGGAGAAAGCAACCCUGCCAGCAUCUUCAUCUUGGACUUCCAGCCUCCAGGACGCUCUGGAUGACAAGGACUCCGCCGACCGGAUGCAUUUAGGAGAGAUCUGGAAGGUGGAAGUGACAAGGCCAGUUCUUGCUGCUUGGCUCAUUUCUGCUGGCAAGCAUGGUGGUGGGCAAAUUGCUCUUUGUGGAGGUGGUGGCAUCCCAGGGUCCAGUCACCCGCACUAUGGUCACAAGAAGCUGUGUGGCUGUGGCAGCCUUCCGGUUCUUCACUUCCUCCUGGGUCUGGGGCCUGUUCUGUGGUGAUGUCUGGAAGUUGGUGCUGGGGCUCCUCUGCGAGCCUGCCUCCCCGGGCCCUUCCAUUGAUUAUGAACAGGGCACUGGGUACUCAAGCUCAUUCUGCUAAGGCUGCCAAGAGCUCUUUCUAAAGUUUGCUGUAACUGAACCCCGACUGAUACACAAUUGCGAAUCUGUCUUGUAAUCUGUAAAUAACCUACAGAGAU
rnacentral:lncRNA from 1 species